rnacentral:misc_RNA from 1 species
AGAUCAUCUCCCUUGCGUCUCUUGAAUUCUAUUACGCCCUCAAAAGGAUUUUACAGGUUUCGGUUCGUUCCUCUAUACUCAUCUUAUAUGAAGUCCACUUGUACUAUGGUUUUGAAGUACAGACUACAGAGAGUUAAGGAUUUUUUCUGGACUUCCUAAAAGGACACACUAACUCAUGGCUUACUUGAAGUGCCAAUCAACAUAUUCACAAGACAAGAGAGACCGUUAAAAGCAGAAACAAAAGCUAACAUACUGAAUUGAAAAUAAGCUCUUUUUUUUUCUUAAGGCACUGAUCAAAGUUCUGAUAUUUUCGAUAUGCCUGUGUUAUGCUUGAUGAUACGGAUGUGCUGAUUGUAGCUGAAAAUUCAUACUUUGGGAUCCGAAGUAUGGCUCAUGCAUACCACCUCUUUGUAAACUUUGGAUUUGCAUUUUAGUGUUCCCAUAAGAGUUUCCUCCAUAAAGAGCUGGGGACAUGAACAAACUUGCUUGUGCAGAAUUGAAGCCCGUGGCUGUCCCAUUAUUGACCUGACUCCACUGAAAUGGCAUUUUGUUCAUGACAUUAGCAGCCGAUUUUGGCUGCUGGGAAAUCAUAGUGGAUUGAUCAGGUGAAGUUGGUUUCUGGUAAUCUGGUGAAAGUGUUUGAUUAUCGUUGAGAUUUAUUGUUGUAAUGUCAUGAAUACUCGCCCGCCUUUUAUCUUUUCCACCAGAAAGUUGUCUAAUAAAGUACUUCUGAGCAUGACUAGCCA